UCAUAUUCUUUUCUUCAACCUCUCUAACACCAUCUCUUUCCUUACUUAUUAUUUGCAAACAAACACAACAGUCUCGAAGAUUUAUUUUGCAGGUGUUCAUAAAAUCCAAGUCCAACCAUCUCAAUCUUACAGUCCAUCCAUCAGCCUUAAAAAACCCAAAUACAUUAGGGUUUUUCCUCAAGCUCGUAAAGUAACUUAGAGGGACUAGCUAGAGCUCCACGUUUUAUUAAAACCUCGCUAGAACGAUACUGUCGUACUAUCAACGAGGACAAGGAGCAGUAGCAUCACAUCAAUCUCAUUAGCUUUAUGAACUAGCUAGCUAGAAGUGCAUGGUUUGGUGGACUCUCCACUUGGGAUUUCUUAUCUUUUACCAGCUCGUUUCCUUGCUCAGUAUUUUGCCUGGACAGACACAAUGAAGACAACUGCAAGCACUUUUUGCUGUCGCCCGCACUCCCCGGCCUGGGAAAGUGAGCUUCACAUGGCCAAGGAUUUUCUGCAAUUCACUAAUGGUCGACAGUUGAUCUCCGGUGAAAAGAAAUCUCCCACCAUAUGACUGAACCUGGUACUAUCUUGGUUGCCGAGUAAAUGGCUUUGCUUUAAGUCAUUCGAUAGUCUUGCCGUUAACUGAGGACUCCCUGAACUUUUCUUGCAAAAUUUCUAUUUUAUCAUCGAGUUUAUUACUACAUCAGUUUACAAUUUUUUAUGGAGUUUAGUUGACG
rnacentral:lncRNA from 1 species